rnacentral:rRNA from 1 species
UACGGAGGGUGCAAACGUUGCUCGGAAUCAUUGGGCGUAAAGCGCACGUAGGCGGCUCGUUAAGUCGGGUGUGAAAGCCCUGGGCUCAACCCAGGAAGUGCAUUCGAAACUGGCGAGCUUGAAUAUGGAAGAGGGUCGCGGAAUUCCCGGUGUAGAGGUGAAAUUCGUAGAUAUCGUAAGGAAGACCAGUGGCGAAGGCGGGUCUCUGGACAGUUCCUGACGCUGAGGCACGAAGGCCAGGGGAGCAAACGGG